CUUCAAUGGAGGCGAUCUCAUUCUCAUUCACUCUUCCAGCCGGGGCACUGCCGUCUGCCAGGCAAGAGACACAACUCAGAAUUCACUGCCAAUAGCAUCCCGGACUCAAGUCGACGAUCUCUUCUUACUCAAGAAUGAAUCAAGAAACUACCAUUGCCACCGGCAUCAUCUUCAAAAUCGAAUCCAAGUUUUCAUGUGCUGUCAUUGUUUCUGAGCCAUCUUUAUGCAAAAAUUUCUUACUGCGAGUGCGUUACAGGGGAAGGUUUGAUGUCUACACCAUUUGUUUCUCCUGUUAUCCUAAAGAAGAAGGUAACUGUGUGCUUUCAUGAUUCAUCUGCAAUGUGCUUUGAGCAUCGUUAAUGAAUAUCACAUGAUGUUUUACUA